UACAGAGGCCUCGAGCGUUAGGCGGAAUCACUGGGCUUAAAGAGCGUGUAGGCGGCCCGAUUAGUCCGCUGUGAAAGUCCAGGGCUCAACCCUGGAAAGCCGGUGGAAACUGUCAAGCUUGAGUCCGGAAGAGGCGAGUGGAAUUCCUGGUGUAGCGGUGAAAUGCGCAGAUAUCAGGAGGAACACCAAUGGCGAAGGCAGCUCGCUGGGACGGUACUGACGCUGAGACGCGAAAGCGUGGGGAGCAAACAGG
rnacentral:rRNA from 1 species